UAGGCUCAACGCCAGAAAAAUCCAAAACCUCGAGAUUACGAACAAAUUUUUGAAGAGAUGAAGGAACCCCUUUAUCAAUUUUUCCGACGUGUGCUAAUACAUCUCCUUUGAGAAGGCGACCAUGAGGGCCUGUAGCAGGAAUAGACCACGGGUUUUCGAUUUUAUAUUGAUGAAUCAAAUAGCUAACGGAAGGAAGAAACGAUUUGUUAACAGCAUCGUUCGCUUGAGAAGUCGAUUUGUGUUCCACAUUACUUUUUGUUUCGCGAUCUUGAACAAUAGGCUUUACCUCUUCCUUAGAAGAGGAGAAAGAUUGCUCUUCUGAGGACGCUUCAUCCUUAGGUAAUUCCAAGUCUUUCAAAUUAUCUUCUGCAUCAGCAACGAUGGCAAUAUUUUUACCAACAGGGAUAUUCGAUCCUUUUUCGAUUAAGACUUUAGCAAGUAUUCCAUUAUCUUGCACUUCAACAUCCAUUGUCGCUUUAUCUAAAAUACCGUUAGUUCAAAGUCAUGGAUGUUUAAGAUUAUUAGUCUAUCAUUUUUCAUACAUACCAGUCUCAACUUCCAAAAGUAUAUCACCACUUUUAAACGAAUCACCUACGUAAAGAAUUAGAUUUAGGAAAUCUCAAUAUACCAACCUUCUUUAAAAUGCCAUUUAGUAAUGUUUCCUUCCUCCAUAGUAGGAGAAAGUGCAGGCAUACGAAACAUGCUUGCAACUCCAUUAAGAGCAGAACAAUGGAAAUCUACAAAAAAUUAUUCUGUUAACUUCGUUAUUUCAAUAAAAAAAAACACUAGUACUCACAUCUUUGUUUAACGGAAAGCGAAUGUUUGCAUGAACUCGCUUUCACACAUUGGUGAAUGUAAUGCUUCAACAUCGUUUCCC